rnacentral:rRNA from 1 species
UGAGUAACACGUAUCCAACCUGCCGUCUACUCUUGGACAGCCUUCUGAAAGGAAGAUUAAUACAAGAUGGCAUCAUGAGUCCACAUGUUCACAUGAUUAAAGGUAUUUUCCGGUAGACGAUGGGGAUGCGUUCCAUUAGAUAGUAGGCGGGGUAACGGCCCACCUAGUCAACGAUGGAUAGGGGUUCUGAGAGGAAGGUCCCCCACAUUGGAACUGAGACACGGUCCAA